rnacentral:rRNA from 1 species
UACGUAGGGCGCAAGCGUUGUCCGGAAUUAUUGGGCGUAAAGGGCUCGUAGGCGGCUUGUCACGUCGGGUGUGAAAGCCCGGGGCUUAACCCCGGGUCUGCAUUCGAUACGGGCUAGCUAGAGUGUGGUAGGGGAGAUCGGAAUUCCUGGUGUAGCGGUGAAAUGCGCAGAUAUCAGGAGGAACACCGGUGGCGAAGGCGGAUCUCUGGGCCAUUACUGACGCUGAGACGCGAAAGCGUGGGGAGCAAACAGG